rfam:Candidatus Contendobacter odensis Run_B_J11, WGS project CBTK01000000 data, contig: COMPJ11_2695_Contig_15
UUGAGCCGUAUGAAGGGAAACUUUCAAGUACGGUUCUUAGGGGAGGGAGUGGCAGAAAUGCCGCUUCCUUACCCGAC